rnacentral:tRNA from 1 species
ACCUCGAUGGCGAAAUAGGUAGACGCUGUGGACUUAAAAUCCGCUGUUCCGAAUGGAACUUGGGGGUUCGAUUCCCCUUCGAGGUA